CAAACCAGUACACACCAGUACAAACCAGUGGUGUGGGGCAGCUAUGGGGCAGUUAUAGCACAUCUAUAGGGCAGCUAUGGGGCUGCUAUGGGGCAGCUAUAGGACAUCUAUAGGGCCGCUAUGGGGCAGCUAUAGGACGUCUAUAGGGCAGCUAUGGGGCCGCUAUGGGGCAGCUAUAGGACGUCUAUAGGGCCGCUAUGGGGCAGCUAUGGGGCAGCUAUAGGACGUCUAUAGGGCCGCUAUGGGGCAGCUAUGGGGCUGCUAUGGGGCAGCUAUAGGACGUCUAUAGGGCCGCUAUGGGGCAGCUAUAGGACGUCUAUAGGGCCGCUAUGGGGCAGCUAUGGGGCACUAUGGGGCUGCUAUGGGGCAGCUAUAGGACGUCUAUAGGGCCGCUAUGGGGCAGCUAUGA
rnacentral:lncRNA from 1 species